CUUACUACAACCAACUUUCAGAUAGUUGUAGGGAGUGAUAAGGUUUCCCCUGAGCCUCCUUUUUUUUCCAGUCUAAACAAUCCCAGUUCCUUCAUCUGCUCCUCAUAAGACUUGUGCUCUAGAUCCUUCACCAGCUCCCUUGCCUUUCUUUGGACAUGCUCCAGUACCUUCCACAGUGGAUUUGUGGCAUUCUUCA